rfam:Schistosoma mattheei strain Denwood, Zambia genome assembly, scaffold: SMTD_contig0000038
ACCCAACUGACGAGUCCCAAAUAGGACGAAAUACGCAUUCUGUCAU